rnacentral:rRNA from 1 species
GACGAACGCUGGCGGCGUGCUUAACACAUGCAAGUCGAACGGAAAGGCUCCAGCUUGCUGGAGUACUCGAGUGGCGAACGGGUGAGUAACACGUGGGUAAUCUGCCCUGCACUCUGGGAUAAGCCUGGGAAACUGGGUCUAAUACUGGAUAUGACCUUUCUCCUUAUGGGGUUUGGUGGAAAGUUUUUCGGUGUAGGAUGAGCCCGCGGCCUACCAGCUUGUUGGUGGGGUGAUGGCCUACCAAGGCGACGACGGGUAGCCGGCCUGAGAGGGUGAUCGGCCACAUUGGGACUGAGAUACGGCCCAGACUCCUACGGGAGGCAGCAGUGGGGAAUAUUGCACAAUGGGCGGAAGCCUGAUGCAGCGACGCCGCGUGAGGGAUGACGGCCUUCGGGUUGUAAACCUCUUUCAGCAGGGACGAAGCGUAAGUGACGGUACCUGCAGAAGAGGCACCGGCUAACUAUGUG